GUUGGAUGCCGGGAGAGGCCUGGGCGCAGGGCUCCAGCGCCGGAGACUUUGGACCGGGGCACUGGGUGUAGCGUUCUUCUGAACCGGUGGAAACACUGCACCCAUGCCGGUCUUGGCACACAUGCAGCAAGGCCUUGGCUUCAAGAGUUGGCUCUGCUGACCAUCCAGCCCCGACUGCAGCACUAUGACCAGGCUAACAUGGACACAGCCAAACGGAUAAAAGAGUGUGAGGAAUAUCUGCAUCAUGAGAUGACUUGGCUGCUGCAGGUGAUAGAGGGGAAGAGAGGCACCAUGGAAGCCCCACUCCCUUCUGCAGUGCAGCAGCAGUGUCUGUUUUAAGGUGCUGUAUCAGCCCUCGUCCUGGUCACUGUUGGCUGCUGGCUGGACAGACAAAGGAAGCCUGCCUCUGCCAGCUGCAGGGACCAGGAAAGCUCCAGCAGCAAGAAGGAGGACAAUGGCCAGAAGUUCAAAGGUGCCCACAAUGGUCUGAGAUGCUUGUGAUCACCCAAUUCAUCACCAAUGGAAACAUUCAAGCUGAGGCUGGAUGGGGCUGACCUGCCCAGCACUUGAAGCAUGGACCAGCGUGAUAGAAUCAAGACCAGUAAUUUCAUCAUCUUCUAAGCUCCUCCAGGCCCAGUGUGGGAGGGUGCAGCUCACAGCAAACUUUGUGACCUUGGGAAGAUGAACUGAAGAUGACCACCCCAUACACAGGGAGCUUUUUUCCCUGCUCUAGAAGGCCUUAGAACCACAAAACAGAAUUGCUGGGCCAUGGAGAAGGCAGGAGGCCAGCAGCACCUGGGCAGGAAAGAGAUGCAAUCUCAACACCCUCCUUUCCUGACCCAAGAGGCACAGCAAAUAAAGGA